rnacentral:rRNA from 1 species
AUUGAACGCUGGCGGCAUGCCUUACACAUGCAAGUCGAACGGUAACAGGUCUUCGGAUGCUGACGAGUGGCGAACGGGUGAGUAAUACAUCGGAACGUGCCUAGUAGUGGGGGAUAGCCCGGCGAAAGCCGGAUUAAUACCGCAUACGACCUGAGGGUGAAAGGGGGGGAUCGCAAGACCUCUCGCUAUUGGAGCGGCCGAUGUCGGAUUAGCUAGUUGGUGGGGUAAAGGCCUACCAAGGCAACGAUCUGUAGUUGGUCUGAGAGGACGACCAGCGACACUGGGACUGAGACACGGCCCAGAGUCCUACGGGAGUCAGCAGUGGGGAAUUUUGGACAAUGGGCGCAAGCCUGAUCCAGCAAUGCCGCGUGCAGGAAGAAGGCCUUCGGGUUGUAAACUGCUUUUGUCAGGGAAGAAAUCUUCUGGGUUAAUACCUCGGGAGGAUGACGGUACCUGAAGAAUAAGCACCGGCUAACUACGUGCCAGCCGCCGCGGUAAAAC